rnacentral:rRNA from 1 species
UACGUAGGGUGCAAGCGUUGUCCGGAAUUACUGGGCGUAAAGGGUCUGUAGGUGGCCAACUAAGUCAGACGUGAAAUCCCUCAGCUUAACUGGGGAACUGCGUCUGAUACUGGAUGGCUUGAGUGUGGGAGAGGAAUGCGGAAUUCCAGGUGUAGCGGUGAAAUGCGUAGAUAUCUGGAGGAACACCGGUGGCGAAGGCGGCAUUCUGGACCAUAACUGACACUGAGAGACGAAAGCCAGGGGAGCAAACGGG